GCUGUAGCUCAGUGGCAGAGCGCCUGCUUUGCGCGCAGAAGAUCUCGAGUUCAAUCCCCGGCAUCUCCA